rnacentral:lncRNA from 1 species
CUACACACAAUCCUAUGAAACUGCCAGCUGGCACCCAAAUCGAAGAGUGAAUUUGCUAGGUAAUGAACGGAAGGUCAGCACAGCACAUCUUUGAUCAGACAUUAUUAUUAUUACAGAACAGAUAGAAGUAUAAAAAUGCAAGCAGAGCAAGAGGUGUCAAAAGCAAAGAAACAAUUGAUUCAGGCUUCCUAUACUGCAGGGCACAAUAAGUAAUGAAACUGUUGGAUUUGUUGGCCAAAGACACACAGGAGAGAGUGCUGAGAAGGUCCAGCUGGCCAGUGGGUUUUCUGAUUUUCUCGUCCUAGCAGCUGGGCAGUAGGGCCCCAGGGAGUGGGAGAUACUGCCUGGGGCAGCUGAGCAUAUCCAGGUGGGGAAAUCUCAAACACAGGAAAGGCUUGACAAGCAGCUAGUUGCUGAGUCACAAACUGUGAGACUUCUUAAAGAAGUAGGGGGCCUGCAUGAAGUGUGGAGCAAACACAGAGAUCAAACUUCAGAAAUGAUGUGGUGGAAGGUGCAGUUAUUUACAUGAUUCAGCCUGUCAUUCAGCUGAGCAGUAUCCAUCUUUGAAAGGAGUAUUACCAGCAUGUCGAGGGAGAGAGGGCACCAAGAGCCUUGCAGGAACAGCUUCACAAGGGAAGAGAAGCCAAUAAUGCAAACCCAAAGCCAGAGGUGGGAGGUCUGGCAGCCAGAUGAUCUGGGAGAGGAGUUUGUGAUGUGCUACAUGGGAACCAUUACCAUGAUGGUCUUCUCUGAGGAAGGUAGCUCAGUCCUAUCUCACGGGAUGCUCCCUGAGUACAGCCCUGACAGGAGAAAGUUCCAGUCGACCCGUUGGUGUGAAUAAG